rnacentral:rRNA from 1 species
CAACUUUCAACAACGGAUCUCUUGGUUCUGGCAUCGAUGAAGAACGCAGCGAAAUGCGAUACGUAGUGUGAAUUGCAGAAUUCAGUGAAUCAUCGAAUCUUUGAACGCACAUUGCGCCCUUUGGUAUUCCAAAGGGCAUGCCUGUUCGAGCGUCAUUUGU